rfam:Rhizobium etli CFN 42 plasmid p42c, complete sequence.
UGUCAAGAGCUUUUGGCGCCGUUUUGGCGAGCGGAUUUCUUUUGCCUCAGUGAGGUGGAAGAGAUG